CGCGCAGGUGGGUUUGCAAGUCAGAGGUGAAAUCUCACGGCUUAACCGUGAAACUGCCUUUGAUACUGUAAAUCUUGAGUGCGGAAGAGAGAGACGGAAUUCCAGGUGUAGUGGUGAAAUACGUAGAUAUCUGGAAGAACACCAGUUGCGAAGGCGGUCUCUUGGUCCGACACUGACACUGAGGCGCGAAAGCGUGGGUAGCAAACA
rnacentral:rRNA from 1 species